rnacentral:lncRNA from 1 species
ACAAAUUUCAUUCAUUUGCAUUAACAAUCCAAUUACAUUCAAAAUUCUAUUCUCAUACAUAAACCAUUGAUUUACCAUUCAUCUUCCAAUACAAUAUUUCAAUCCAAAUUACAAAUUACAACCACAAUAAAUACACAGUUUAAGUUCCAUCACAAAUCCAUUCCAUUUGAAGCAAAAGUUUAAUGCACCUCCCACACGACUAUGAUUCGUAGCAUAACACCACAAUUUAAAUACACAUUCCACAUGGCCCGUGACAGCCCUGCAAAUUCAUUUACCUACAAAAAUCCAAACGCAUAAUAACAUUCACCCUGCAACAAUUUUCAUAAUAGGGCAAAAACAAUUCAAUAUGUAAUUGCAUAACAUAGCAAACAUUGAUCAAUAACAAAAUGGAAUUCAACCAAACAAGGAUUUCAAUUAACUUCAUUCAUUUUCACUAACCAUUUCACUUCACACUAACAAAACUCUUCUAACAACUAACUUCCCUUCAACUAACGGAUUGACUCUACAUAACUAAUAACCUAACUGUUUUUAACAGUUAGUUAACAGUUAACAGACGCGUAACAAAAUUGCACAGAUGGAAACUAACAAACCUAACUGAUCCAACAUAAUAGACAUCCUAUAUAAGCUCCCAAAUCUCAUUGUAACUUGGAGUUUUUGGAAGCUACAAUUCAUUCCUCUCCAAAUUCUCAGGAUUUCAUUCUCUUACAUUGAAACGAUUCAUUCCUGCAAAAUUCUCUCCCUCACAUUUCCACUAUCCAGAAAUUCACAGAGAUCAUCACACUCACGAUUCUUCAAGAAAAAAGCACUAGAAGCAUUGAGAAGAAUUAUAAGGAGAAAGAAAGAGUUCAAGGGAAGAGGAUCUCGUACCUGACGCCGACUCCAUUCUGGUGAGUCUCCAUUUCAUUUCUUCAUUGUUUCGCAAUAUAGAAGUUACCAAUGUGUAGCUAUAGAUUGGGGGAGUCAAAGCCCUGACCUCUAUGGAUUUGACUAUGGACGAGCAUUGUUUAAUUUCAACUUGAAGACCUAGGGUCCUUACCUCUUUUGAUUCGAUUCGAGCAUAUCCGAUUGAAUUAGACGUAGAUAUAGUGAUUUCUGGAUUCAGUGUAGAAAACUGAUUUAGGAGAUAUGUUUAAUUGAGAUUCUAGAGGCGCCUCCACCACUGGAGAUGGCCUUUGGCGCGACGGAGGGAGAACGGAGAAGAGGGAGACACAUUUGAGAUAUUUUUUCUCUGAGUCUUUUAAGCAUGUGAAUCACGUGUUUUCUAAGCUUUGACUCAUUAAUAGAGCUGUCAAUUUAAGGGGCCAAUUAAUUUAGGCCCCAACCCCCAAAAUAAGAGGGCCUAAAAAAAUUAAAGAAUAGUAAGCCCUCAACCCUAAAGUUAGAUGGGCCCAAAAUUUAAAAGAGGGCCAUAAGGCCCCAAAUAAAAUAAAAAAACUUAAUUUUGAAAAACAAAAUAAAAUAAAUUCAAAAAAUAAAAAAACUUUAUUUUGAAAACCAGGAAUAGAUA